UGGGGGGCAAGUCUGGUGCCAGCAGCCGCGGUAAUUCCAGCUCCAAUAGCGUAUAUUAAAGUUGUUGCAGUUAAAAAGCUCGUAGUUGAAUUUCGGGAUUUGUCAGUUGGUCGGGCUUCACUGUCCGUAUUGACUUGAUGGAUUCUUACCUUCUGAAUAACCAGCAUGCUAUUAAGUUAGUGCGUUGGGGAAGCAGAUCUAUUACCUUGAAAAAAUUAGAGUGCUUAAAGCGAGCUAGUGCUUGAAUAGAUUAGCAUGGAAUAAUAAAAUAGGACGGCAUGGUUCUAUUUUGUUGGUUUCUAGGAUCACCGUAAUGAUUAAUAGGGAUAGUUGGGGGCAUUAGUAUUCAAUUGUCAGAGGUGAAAUUCUUGGAUUUAUUGAAGACUAACUUCUGCGAAAGCAUUUGCCAAGGAUGUUUUCAUUAAUCAAGAACGAAAGUUAGGGGGUCGAAGACGAUCAGAUACCGUCGUAGUCUUAACCAUAAACUAUGCCGACUAGGAAUCGGACGAUGUUAAUUUUAUAAUGACUCGUUCGGCACCUUACGGGAAAC
rnacentral:rRNA from 1 species